CCUACGGGUGGCAGCAGUGAGGAAUAUUGGUCAAUGGGCGGAAGCCUGAACCAGCCAAGUAGCGUGCGGGAUGAAGGCCCUACGGGUCGUAAACCGCUUUUGCACGGGGAUAACACCCUCCACUUGUGGCGGUCUGCAGGUACCGUGCGAAUAAGGGCCGGCUAAGUCCGUGCCAGCAGCCCCGGUUAUACGGAAGGCCCGAGCGUUAUCCGGAUUUAUUGGGCUUAAAGGGAGCGUAGGCGGGCGUUCAAGUCAGCUGUAAAAUCGCGCGGCUCAACCGCGCCCCGCAGUUGAAACUGGACGCCUUGAGUUCACAACAGGCAGGCGGAAUGCGUGGUGUAGCGGUGAAAUGCAUAGAUAUCACGAGGAACCCCGAUUGCGAAGGCAGCCUGCCGGGGUGCGACUGACGCCGAGGCUCGAAGGUGCGGGUAUCAAACAGGAUUAGAUACCCUGGUAGUC
rnacentral:rRNA from 1 species